rnacentral:misc_RNA from 1 species
GUUCGAGUUCUGACACAUAAAGAGAAAGAAAGGAGUUUCUGCUGGGAAGGAGCUGAGUGUUUUGAAUUUCAUUGGAGAACUGGAUAGCAAUUAAUGAUGGAUGAGUAUAUUGAUCUUUAUUUCCCUUCUGCAUCAUGGGCAGAUGGAGAUUUUAAGGAAAAAUCAUCUUGGGGCUACAGUGAAACUGGCCAACUGAAUUUGCUGCUUCCUGCCUCAAUUAGACUAUAUGAAAAUGACAAAGGAAACCCACCCUUAAGUAUGAUUAGUUCAAAACCAAGCGUGGAGUGUAUACACACUCCAGAUAAGUCACCACUCACUCUUGGCAGUGAGUCAAAUUAUGCUGUUGACAAAUGUCUAAUUUCUGGGAACGCUCAAUUGCAAAAGGUCAGUCAAAACUGCAGGGGCAAAGUCUCCCCAACAAUGAAUGGCAGCUUAAAAGUUGGAAGUGUCGGCGUGCAAUAUGACAAAUCUCUUCC